CAAUGCUAUUUGCUGUCGCGCAGUGUUGCUUUGAGCUGAUUGGUUAAGCUGACUGUCACUCAGGAAUCUGGCCAAUGACUAGCGAGCGCGCCGUUUUCCCGCUCAAAUUUGAAUAUACACUGACAGUCCCGGCAGACAUGCCCGGCUUCUGCAGUCUGCUGCGGUCGCUCCUCUAGUAAUGGCUUUUAUAUGUAUUAUCUGAGUGUUAAAUUCAUAUUUUGUGUGAGUUUGUGUUGUGGGAUGACGAUUGAGAACGAAUAAACGCGAAUAUGGACACUUCUACCAGCAGCUAACAGACAAGCAAACUGCAAAAGAGAGGACAUGAACGCAUGAUCCUUGGACUCCUUGGAGAAGAAUACUGUAUGCAAAACAGGAUUUUGGAUCAGCUGUGAAGAUUUUGGAUGGAGCUGAAGUUUUGGAAAUGGAAAUCUUCUACCAUAUGAUCUUCAGAGGAACUAAUCCAGCUGAGUACUGGCGAUUUGGAGGAGGACUGCUCUUUAUCUGCUGUGUCUGUCACUUCUGGCCAUGGACCUUUUGUUAUGCUGGUGAAAAAACCGCCAGGCUAAAGCAUUCAAAGUGGAAACUUCUGAUGUGGCUCAGUAAUCCAGGAUUGGGGUGGUGGAAGGAGCAGAAGAACCAGAAGAUCAGAGAUCAGGCAGAGAUCUACUGGUGCGCCUGAGGGAACCGAUUUACUUAAUGUCUUAGUUAAACCAAAAAUUCUCAUCACUCACCUCCAUGUCGUUUUUUUACUAUAACCAACAAAGGCUUUUGUUCAUCUUUGAAACAUAAAUGUCUUUUUAAUGAAAUCUGAGAAAUUUCUGCCCCUCCAUUUCACAGUUUAUGCAACUACCACUUUCAAGCCUCAGAAAGGUAAUAAAUACAUCAUUAAAGUAAACCCAUGUGACUCCAGUUGUUUAACCUCAAUUUAUGAAGUGAUGUGAAUGUUUUGUGUGCACAAAAAACAUUGCAUUUUUAUUUACAAAAUAACAUGUUCACGAGAGCACCAUCAUGCAUCACUGUUGCGUUGGCGUGAGAGCCGGCCAUCUCAUGGUGCUUUUGUAAAAAAAUGCUUUGGAGAUACAUCAUUUGUGAAUAAAGACAUACUAUUUUUGUUAUUGCUGUUUUUUUGCGUACACAUGGCAUCUGUUAAAAAUAUCUUCAUUUGUGUUCUGCACAAAAGGGUCUUAUGGGUUUGGAGCGACAUGAGGGCAAGUAAUUAAUGACAGAAUUUACAUUUUUGGGUGAAAUAUGUUCUAAUGUGGUUAUAAUUGGUCAUUGUUAUGUUUUAUAAACAUUUUCAAUAUUUUAAAGAUUUAUUGUUUUGAAAAAUGAUGUUUAUACAGUCUACUUUAAGUA